rnacentral:rRNA from 1 species
GCUAACGCCUGUGCAGCGUGCGUGGUAAUCUGUGCGAGGCUAGAGUUAUCCGGAAUUAUUGGGCGUAAAGCGUCCGGAGUUUGCUAGUCAAGUCUGACGGCAAAGACUGGGGCUUAACCCUGGAAAGGCCGUUGAAACUUACGAGCUAGAGUGCAGUAGGGGUAGAGGGAAUUCCCGGUGUAGCGGUGAAAUGCGUAGAGCUCGGGAAGAACAUCGGUGGCGAAAGCGCUCUACUGGACUGCAACUGACACUCAGGGACGAAAGCUAGGGGAGCGAAUGGGAUUAGAUACCCGAGUAGUC